rnacentral:RNase_P_RNA from 1 species
CUGCUGAUUUUAAUCAGGAGAGGAAAGUCCGAGCAUCGUAGAGCAGGGUGCUGGGUAACUCCCAGUGAGGGUGACCUUAAGGAAAGUGCAACAGAGAGAUACCGCCUCAUUUUGAGGUAAGGGUGGAAAGGUGAGGUAAGAGCUCACCAGCGCAAUGGUGACUUUGCGGCUAUGUAAACCCCAUUUGAUGCAAGGCCGAAUAGAGGGACAUUUUGGAGCUGCUCGUUCCGUCCCCGGGUGCGCCGCUUGAGCCAUAUAGAAAUGUAUGGCCUAGA